GUCAGAAUCUGCUUUCCCAUUUUCCGAUGAGUUAAGGAAGAAUGAGAUACAAGAACAGUUAAGCUUCCCACAACCAGGUCUGGAUUCCGUCGCGGAGAGGGCUGUCCGUGGAAGUGAAGCAAUGACAAGAGAAGGCGCUGUCCCAGCCCCUGACCUUCCCCUGGGCCUGGACGUCCUUGCAGGGUCUGGGACUGCGAAGCAGUUUCCAGAGAUCUGUGGCUGGAGCUUCAUCACUGGCUAGACCUCUCAGCCCCGAUCCUCCCUGCUCCGCAGACAAACCCCCCCCUCAGGAGCCCCUCACCUCCCUACCAUGACCCUGGUAUUCACCACCUUCCUCCUUCAGGAAGCUCACUGACUCCUGAGAAGACACAGAAACUGUUAGCUUGGCGGAAGUAGAAACAAACUCGCCGAACAGAUUAGGGCAGCAAUGGAAGAGGCAGUUUCCUCUGGAGCCAUGGUCCUCCAAGGAGCCCCAGCAGCGUCGGCCGGGAAGGUGGAAAUACAGAUCCUCGGCGCCCAGACAGUUGAAUCAGAAAUUCCAGGGGUGGAGCCCGGCAGUCUGUGUGUUAAGAAGCCCCGGGCACGCCGAAGCCCUCCCUAGUGUGAGAACAGAACUGCCGGGUGGUGGGUGGGGGCAGAGGGAAGAGAGCUGACUUCUCGGAAGAGCCUGGAAGAGCUUGCCCUGGGGCUGCAGGGAGGGACAGGGUGGCAUGCCCAGACCCAGGACCCACGCCGCAUCCCGCAACCGGUGUCCAAGCCCAGCAGACCUUCUCAUGUAUGUUAAUCACCUUGAAACCACCAUUUUAGUGAUGUCAGAUUGUUAAGGCUACGCGGCAAAGAAUUCUUCAGAGUUAAGUAACUCUGCUUUCUGUUCUUAAAAAUGUUCUUGGGGCACCUGGGUGGCUUAGUCCAUUAAGCAUCUGACU